rnacentral:misc_RNA from 1 species
GUAGGUGAACCUGCGGAAGGAUCAUUAACAAAUCUAUUGUGAGUGCGGCAGUCCCCUAGGGGGCCGCUUGCACACAUACACCCUAGAGCGCAGCACUCCGGUGCCGCGCUUUAGUACGGUCAUUCUUCGGAAUCGACCACAUUAACGCUUGUUUGUUUGACAGAGUUAUCAUGACAACUAAAAUAGACAACUUUUAACAAUGGAUCUCUUGGCUCUU